rnacentral:lncRNA from 1 species
AAAGCCAGCCUGUGCAUGCAGACUGGCGGUUCCUCCAUUAGCAGGCUUUCUGUGACUGGAGGGACAAGGGCUGGGAGACACAGAGAUGGGUGCCCAUAUUGCUGGAAUAAGAAGUCUUUCUUUGUUGUCUAAUUGAGUACUUGUCAUAGAGGAUGGAAAAACAAGCUGUUAAGUGACAAUUUUC